UUAAGGUCCGGCUAUACAGGGCUAAUCGUACGCGCCUGGUUACGCGUCACGCAUCUGCGAAGCCGUGCGCGCUUGUCCUACGCGUCUAGAGAUGGGAAGCGCGCAGGCUGCGCGCGCGUCAGGAAGUGCUUGAUUUUGAGCGUCA
rnacentral:lncRNA from 1 species